AGCAGACUCAAGAAUGAACAAUCCGUCAGAAACCAGUAAACCAUCAAUGGAAAGUGGGGAUGGGAACACAGGCACGCAAACAAAUGGCCUGGACUUUCAAAAGCAGCCGGUGCCUGUCGGAGGAGCAAUCUCUACAGCCCAGGCCCAGGCCUUCCUUGGGCACCUUCAUCAGGUCCAGCUCGCUGGAACAAGUUUACAGGCUGCUGCUCAGUCCUUAAAUGUACAGUCUAAAUCUAAUGAAGAAUCUGGGGACUCUCAGCAGCCAAGCCAGCCUUCCCAGCAGCCUUCAGUGCAGGCGGCCAUACCCCAGACCCAGCUCAUGCUGGCCGGAGGACAGAUCACUGGGCUCACGUUGACGCCAGCCCAGCAACAGUUAUUGCUACAACAGGCGCAGGCACAGUUGCUGGCAGCUGCAGUGCAGCAUUCAGCCAGUCAGCAGCACAGCGCUGCUGGUGCCACCAUCUCGGCCUCUGCUGCAACGCCGAUGACGCAGAUCCCUCUAUCUCAGCCAAUACAGAUUGCACAGGAUUUGCAGCACUUGCAGCAGCUUCAGCAGCAGAAUCUCAACCUGCAACAGUUUGUGUUGGUGCAUCCAACAACCAACUUGCAGCCAGCACAGUUCAUCAUCUCACAAACACCGCAGGGGCAGCAGGGUCUCCUGCAAGCGCAGAAUCUCUUAACGCAACUACCUCAGCAAAGCCAAGCCAACCUCCUGCAGUCUCAGCCAAGCAUCACCCUUGCCUCGCAGCCAGCAACCCCAACACGCACAAUAGCAGCGACCCCCAUUCAGCCACUUCCACAGAGCCAGUCAACACCAAAGCGAAUCGACACUCCCAGCUUGGAGGAGCCCAGUGACCUUGAGGAGCUUGAGCAGUUUGCCAAGACUUUCAAACAAAGACGGAUCAAACUUGGAUUCACUCAGGGUGAUGUUGGGCUCGCUAUGGGCAAACUCUAUGGAAAUGACUUCAGCCAAACUACCAUCUCUCGCUUUGAAGCCUUGAACCUCAGCUUUAAGAACAUGUGCAAGUUAAAGCCACUUCUGGAAAAGUGGCUCAAUGAUGCAGAAAACCUCUCGUCUGAUUCAACUCUCUCCAGCCCAAGUGCCCUGAAUUCUCCAGGGCUGGGGAUUGAAGGCUUGAACCGUAGGAGGAAGAAACGCACCAGCAUAGAGACCAACAUACGUGUGGCCUUAGAGAAGAGUUUCCUGGAGAACCAAAAGCCUACCUCGGAUGAGAUCACCAUGAUAGCUGACCAGCUAAACAUGGAGAAGGAGGUGAUCCGCGUUUGGUUCUGUAACCGGCGCCAGAAGGAGAAAAGGAUCAACCCACCCAGCAGUGGUGGAACCAGCAGCUCGCCCAUCAAAGCAAUUUUCCCUUGCCCAACCUCACUGGUGGCAACCACACCAAGCCUUGUGACUAGCAGUGCAGCUACAACCCUGACAGUCAAUCCUGUGCUCCCUCUGACCAGUCCUGCUGUAACUAGUCUGUCAGUCACAGGCACAACAGAAACCACCUCCAACAACACAGCAACAGUGAUUUCAACAGCACCUCCAGCUUCUUCAGCAGUGACAUCACCCUCCCUGAGCCCUUCCCCUUCUGCCUCAGCCUCCACUUCGGAGGCAUCCAGUGCCAGUGAGACCAGCACAACACAGACAACCUCCACUCCUUUGUCCUCCCCUCUUGGGACCAGCCAGGUGAUGGUAACGGCAUCAGGGUUGCAAACAGCGGCAGCAGCCGCAUUACAAGGAGCUGCACAGUUGCCUGCAAAUGCAAGUCUUGCUGCCAUGGCUGCUGCAGCUGGACUAAACCCAGGCUUGAUGGCAUCCUCGCAGUUUGCAGCUGGAGGUGCCUUACUCAGUCUCAAUCCAGGGACGUUAGGUGGUGCUCUCAGCCCAGCCCUGAUGAGCAACAGUACACUGGCAACUAUUCAAGCUCUUGCAUCUGGUGGCUCUCUUCCAAUAACAUCACUGGAUGCAACUGGAAACUUGGUGUUUGCCAAUGCUGGAGGUACUCCUAACAUCGUAACUGCCCCUCUGUUCCUGAACCCUCAGAACCUUUCUCUGCUCACCAGCAACCCGGUUAGCUUGGUCUCUGCAGCUGCAGCCUCCGCAGGGGCCUCUGGACCAGUCGCCAGCCUUCACGCCACCUCCACCUCAGCCGAGUCCAUCCAGAACUCUCUCCUCACGGUGGCCUCUGCGAGCGGGGCCACGUCCACCACCACUACUGCCUCCAAGGCACAGUGAGCUGGGCUGAGCUGUGCUGCCAGCAGCCUGUUUCGCUGUGCGGUGGGAUUGGCUGCCAGCGGGGUUUAUAAACUGAAAAUGUGAUGGGCAUCCUCUCACCGUGUUGCUGGGGACAAGGGAGAGAAAGAAAAAUAUAAAAAACAAAAGCAAAACAGGAAGGAUUUAAAGCUGGGACAGACAUUUGCCUAAUUUUAUAAUAAACACUGUCUUUUCAGGAUCGCUUCAUGGAUCGGAGAACUUUCUAACCAAAAAUGUAAAAAAAAAAAACAAAAAACAAACAAAAAAAAAACAAAAAAAAAAACCACAAAAAAAGUGAAAGGACUACUUAUCAUUUCCAGCAGUCACAAUGACAAGUUAAGGCCCCACUUCAGGAUUCAUACUGCCUUUGCUGAAUUUUGUAGCAGCAGCUACUUAAGCCCUAUUCCCUGAACAUGAGAAUGUUGUGCGCGGACGAAGCUGGCAUGUUGCGGUGCUAUAGAAAUCGGAAAUUCUUAAACGGAAGGAAUCCUAAGACAUUGGAAACGGCAUGCCAAGGGGCAAAUCGUGGAGAUCGCACAACCCCCUUGAGAAACAAUUUAGGAACAAGAGCACCUGUGACAGUGUCCUGAGAACAAGGCAGUUGAGACAAAACCUUUAGUUCUUCCCCCAUCCACUCUGUAUGUGUCGGCCUCUGUGACCCUGGUGCUCCCCGCACCCGAGCGAGUCCGAGAGGAAAACGCAAUGCGAAAGACGCGGAGAUCAGCGCCGCUCCCUGUGAGUUCCCGGGGAGCUGGACUGGGCCUCCCUGUGAAACGGGGAAGGGAAGGGAUCGCUGCAGAGCCGCCCGCGGGUGGUCUGAAGAGGUCUGGAGCAGCGCUGGUGCCCGUGGGGCGCCUCGCGUGCCAGCAGUCUGCGGGAAGGACCCGGGCAGUAACUUCUUUGUCCCCACCAGUGCUGUUGUUCCAUUUCCUUCCUCUGUGGUAGUAUCUAAGGCUAGGUGUGAGUAGGUGUGGGGUGUUUAUCCGCCACAGGUACAGGAGCUGUCGUAUACCUCAUUUCUAACUCGUAACCGAGUAACUUGCUUUAACUUUCUCCAAACCCUACAGAGUUGCCAAGUCUGCCCUCCCUCCUUUGAUUAACACUGAACUCUGGCCUAUAGCACCCCGUGACCUGCAACCUGGGGAGUGACCCCCUAACGCCUCUGAAUGUCGCUGCUUAAAAGCUACUGCAAAGUGAGGGCAAAUUGCAAUCUUACCUUAUUUCCUUUGGUUACAAGGGGUCCUCUUGAUUAGUCUGUGAAUAUCCACUCCCUCCCCUCCACUCUCCACGGAAGAGGGCCGCCCAGGCUGCCUUUCCCCCACCCCAGGGCAGCUGCCUCCGGGCUGUGCUGAACCCCAGGGCCCGGAGGCGCUCUCAGCCCAGUGCUGUGUACACGCUACUCACUUUUUUGACAUGACCAAAAAAAAAAAAGGAAAAAAAAAGAAAAGAAAUCUCCAAAUAUUUAAUUUUCUUCUUUAUUAUUUGACAAUCCUGUAUCCCUUCCCUGCUCCCCAACCUGGCCAGAAGCUGCAUCCUUAACCCGGUCCAUCUUUAUUUGAAUGUAGUUCCCCUACCCCUAUGGGAAAGAGAAGCUUUGUCAGGUCACGGUGGCUGCUAUAAGUCGGGAGGGGGCGGUUUCUUUGUUUUGUUUUGUUCUUUUAAAAUUUCCAGCCAAAACCAAAGAUUUCCUAAUGAUUGUAUAAACUCAAAACAAACAAACAAACCAAAGACAAAGGGCGUCUUCAGCACCAAGCCCAUCUGUGAGGCCGGCCUGGCCAGGGUGAGGGUCUCCGCCAGCUGCCAGCCUGGGGGGGCUGCCCCGGGCGAGGGGGCACUGCCCUGGGCCCUGGGCCUGGCCUCCGAAAGGCCCCGGGAGGAAACUCGCUGCCCUGGGGCGAAAUCUGGGGCACAGGUGCUGGGAGGGACGGCUGGGGGCUUUGCAGGUGGGUUGAGGAGCUGAAGACUUGGGUGCAGGAUUGGCUGCUCUGCUGGGUGCUUUAACCCUCUGGGGGCUGGGUGAUGUUGAUUAAUACACGCUGAGGUGCACUUCUGAGCUUCCCCCCUCCCCCCGUCACUGCUUGGAAGAGGCUGUCCUGUUGUGAGAAAUCCCUGAAAGAAGAAGCAGCUGCUUUUCAUUUCUCCUCUAGUUCCUUUUUUCUAGAUUUCUUUUAUUUUUGCAGCACCACUGUGCAACUAUGCAUUGUAUUUCUCAACCUUUUAUGCUAGGUAGAUGCCUGUGACUUUUUAACUUUUUGGGGGGGGAUUGCAAAUGGAGGAACUUUUUACAUGGAUCUUUUUAAUCUCAGUUGAUUGGGGGGUGUUUGGUUCUAGGGUCAUACAAGCUCUAUCCCAAAGCAAAAUCCAAAUGUUAAUAUUAUUAGCCUGAUGCAGAUACCAAAGAUAAUUUCUUUCCUGCAGAACCUUAGACUUGUGUAUUAAGUACGAUUACCCAGCACUUGCAUUAGUCUAACCUCAGUAAUUCCAAAGCUUAGAUGUAUAUUUUGGUAUAUUUCUGGGAUAUUAAAAAAUUGUCGUUUAAAUUCUUGUUUGUUUCAGUGUAAUGCUCUUAAAGUCAUAGCAUGGAGAUAACUGAACUUGUCCUAUUCUUAGUAGUUUGAAAUAAUAGUAUUUUUGUAUGUUUUGGGUGUGUCUAUGUAUGUAUUAACAUAACAGUUUUCACUGCCUAGGUGUUCAUAAAUUAAAAAAAAAAAAAACAACUAAGGGUUUUUAAACUGUACAUAAUAUUCCAUGAGGAAUUUCCACCAGACCGCCAAUUUGGAUCGCAUUUUCACUGACGGCUGCUCCCAACUGGGAUUCUUUCUUUCUUUUUAAAGAGACAGCAUGUUCUUUUUUUUUUUUCCCCAUUGACCUGAGGUUCUUUCUCAGCAUAAAGGGGUUUUCACUGUUUUUCAGGGAUGGGCCAAAGAGGAAGUAGCUUAAAUUUUGUUUUAAAAAAAUAUUUAACAUGUUAGUUUGAAAACUAACCCUUUGUAUGAAGAAUUGGGAGUUGAAAAACAAGCCCUUUCUUCUAAAUCCGGCAAUAGUUUUCAAAGAGAUGAGGAUUUCUGAAUGUCUGUAGCAUCUGGGCAGUCCCUUUUUGCUUCGUUUCUAAGACAGACAAAUUUUCAGUCUUAGUGGUUUCACUACUCUGUGCAAAUGCCUGCUUACACUGGCUGGGAGGUUUUAUUUUUCUCUUGCCCUUCCUCAUAUACUGCAUUUAUAUGCUUCAGGUCAGCAGAACACUUGAAACUGAGGGCCAUAUGGGAAUACCUGUACCCAAACGCAACUCAAGCUUUUCUUGAGACUGAAAUGUGAGAGUCCCACACAUUUCAAAACCUUGCUGAUCACACUAGGGGUGAGGAGGAAGGCGAAAUGCUGUCUCUUUAAAGAUGUCCUUUAUUAUUAUUAUUAUUAUUAUUAUUAUUGUUAUUAUUAUUAUUUUCCCAGUGGUUGCCUACAGAUAGCUGUAGGCAUUGAGAGAUUGUGUAGAUUACAGUAAAUCAGAAUGAAAAGGUAGAUUUUGUGUAGAUGCAUUUGUCUGCUGUAAUUUUUUAUAUAUAUUAAACUUACUGUAAUUGUACAGUUCAUUUCUGUUGUAAACAUCAUUAAACCAUUUUCCAAGUGUUUUAA